rnacentral:rRNA from 1 species
AUUGAACGCUGGCGGCAGGCUUAACACAUGCAAGUCGAGCGGAGAUGAGGUGCUCGCACCUUAUCUUAGCGGCGGACGGGUGAGUAAUGCUUAGGAAUCUGCCUAUUAGUGGGGGACAACAUUCCGAAAGGAAUGCUAAUACCGCAUACGCCCUACGGGGGAAAGCAGGGGAUCUUCGGACCUUGCGCUAAUAGAUGAGCCUAAGUCGGAUUAGCUAGUUGGUGGGGUAAAGGCCUACCAAGGCGACGAUCUGUAGCGGGUCUGAGAGGAGGAUCCGCCACACUGGGACUGAGACACGGCCCAGACUCCUACGGGAGGCAGCAGUGGGGAAUAUUGGACAAUGGGCGGAAGCCUGAUCCAGCCAUGCCGCGUGUGUGAAGAAGGCCUUUUGGUUGUAAAGCACUUUAAGCGAGGAGGAGGCUACCUGGAUUAAUACUCUAGGAUAGUGGACGUUACUCGCAGAAUAAGCACCGGCUAACUCUGUGCCAGCCGCCGGGGUAAGAC